rnacentral:lncRNA from 10 species
CUUUGCUGGGGCCCAAUACCACCAUUAAGCAUAGUUCAGUCAGUGGUGCAGUGUGGUUAGAUGGAGAGAGGGUCCAGGGUGCACCCGGAGCUGCCCUUGGGAGUCAGUGAGUCCCAAGGGGCCUGCUGUGGGAGGGUGAGGGGGUCUUAGAGCAAUGACUGUGUGAGACUGGGAAGCCAGGUGGAGAAUGGGGCAGAAACCUGGGGGAGUCAGUGGCCAACAAAAGCCAAGGGGAGGUGGAUUCAGCAGGGAAGAGUCCCUACGCCCUGACUGGCUGAGAAAGAAUAGACUGUAAGUUUAUCAGCUGCAGGAUAUUAGCAACGGACACCAGCUGAAUGCUCAGGAACCACUCAAGCCAGUGAUUCCCCGGCGGACCUUGGAACAGCCACUGUGCAGCUGGUCUGGAGAACAGCCGGCCAGUCCCGAGGCCCAGUCACCCUGCCUCCACCAGGUCAGGGGGCUGCUCAGUACACAAGCCACCCUUCGGGGCAGGACUGAGGGAGGAGAAGCAAAAAGGGAGAGGCUAACCUAACGAACUGGUUAAGUGCAUUGCACUGAAUUAAAGCUAAGACGGAGAUUUAGUUAUUGUUUUCUCACUUCCUAGCCACUGGGGCCAAAUCAAAUCAAAUGCAGAGGAAAAAUAAACACAUUUCUCUGCAUGUCCGAGGUGCAGUGUGAGUAUUCGUGGUCCCUCUACCUCUGCGACUGUUUUCUCAGAAACUUAAAUCCUCUAAGCCUGGAUCACGCACAUCUACGUGGAUUGGCAAGAUUCACAGGGAGAUCAAGUAUUUUGCCCAAGAGCACACAGCUAGAGAGUGGAGAAGUCCGGAUUCAACCCAGACAGAUUGACUCCAGAGCGUGUGCUAUUCGUGGCUAUGCCAGAAUGCCCUGAUGGCCUCAGGUUUGCCUUGCCAACUGACAAAGGCGACUGUUUCCUACCCAUUGGCUCAGAUGAUCAACAGUUGCCUGCCUUGGACUUUGGAGUUCCCAAGAACUAGAAAAUCCAGGUCAGGAACUGUAUCUUUGCUCAGCCACCUGCAAACAGACUUGAGAACAAUGUAAACCACCCUCUGCAGGAUAUUGAUUCUGAUGGAGUAAAUGUUGAUUAAGCAGAAUGGUGUUUUUUUUUUUAACUGGAGGAAUUCCAGAUCUUUCCUUAGGCCUGUCUCUCCAGGGAAAUGAGCUCUAGCCUUAAAAAUCUACAGAAAACCUGAGUAAGAAUGAAGAUUUAUGAUGGGAGACGCUGGGCGGAAGACGGCUGGCUAUCUGGUGGGCUAUCUAGAAGCUCAUCUUUGUGUUAUUAGAGAAACACUCCCGCUCUUGACAGGAUAUGGUCUGCUUAUCACAUAAUCUUCUCAAGUUUCAUUCCCAUUCUGCUUACAAAUGCCCCAAAUAUAAAGAGAUGCAUUUCAUCAAGACAGCCUUUUAAGAGGCAGUUGAUCCCAGCUGUUGCCGUCUAUCUUAAACACCUACCUUUUCACCCUAGUGUGGAGUUUACAUGUCGAUAAGCGAUGUAAAAAAGGGAACUUGAGAAAUCUCAGCAGAGGAAAAACACCGAGCCUGUCUCUGGGGAUUGGAGUAGGAGUAAAGAGCUCAGGAAGCUCUAAGUUCCAGAACACCCCUCCUUUUCAGAGAGGAGCCCUGGGGCGAUGCUGGCCUGCCCCAGGCCUUGAGCUGAUCUCAAAUACCAGGGACUGGAAACCGUUUUCCAGGCACAUAAGCUGAGGGAUUCAUUGCCUGCUACUUUGGCAUUUUCUUGUCAAGAGCUGGUGGUAAAAUAGUAGUGAAAGAUGCAGGUAGGAACAGGAGAGCCAGACCUGGAAGGUUUUGGCUCACCCAUGGACCCUCCGUCCUGGCAUUGUCCAUGCUCAUCCGUGAUGAAUUCUCAAUACCUGAUUUCAUGACACACAUAUGUAGACCUGGGAUGCAUUCCCAGACGGCCAAGUGGGAUAUGCUGCCAAAUGACCUGUGAGUUUUCUCUCACUCCUGAGUCUGCAAGCUCAGAAAGCCAGGGGCUCUUAGAGGUUGCUAAGUCCAGAAGACUUUUAUGCAGAAUACCGAGGGAGGAGGUUAGAAUUAAGUAUUAAGUGGGCAAAACAGGAGGGGUCAUUUCAGAGUCCUGCUUGGGUCCUGGUGCAGCCUGUUGUAGCUGAUAGGGAUGGAGGCGGGGAGGUAUCUCCUUUGUUGAAGAAAUAAACCUGUGACUGUGAAUCCAGUCUGCUCCCUCCUAAAGACUGGGCUGCAGUGUUUGAAGUCGGAACUGGUGUGUUUCGGGAAGCUGGCUGCAUCAGGUUCCCAUUAGCCCAGGCAGCUGCACCAGUGGGUUCACACCAUGACAUGGUAACAAUUAAGCCUUCUGCUACUGGUCCUUACCCUGGGGUGAGGCUCUUUUCUUUUUUACCAAUGUGACUUAAAGUUGCCCUGGUUUCCUUGUGGCUCGAUUUCCUGCAGAUUCCCGUUACUUUAUGUCUAAUCUUCUGAGACCACUCAUUAGACCACACAAAUUGUAACAAUUGUCUCCAGCACACAGAUCCUGUUCCAGACCCUCAGUGUACCUAGGAAAAAGACUAUCUCUCUGAAACGUGAGAGUUACUUCCUGUGUAAAUAGACGAAUUCCAAAAAAUCCGAGGCAAAAAUAUUAGGGAAAAUAAACUAAUUAUACUCCCAUACCCUGAGGCAUUCUAAAAUUAUUUUCUUCCUUUAAAAAAAAAAAGCAGUGGGUUAGAACAAUUAUUUCCAUUUUCAGUGAUGAGAGAGAUAAUACAUGUACAAAUGACUGUAGUAUGAAGCAGAAAAACGAAAAGAUAUCAUUAAAUUCUAUGGUUUUUCCAAGCAAGAAAAAUAUUUCUUUAUAGAGAAUAAGCCUGAUCAGAGAAAUUGCCAUUUGAGCUGAAACUUGAAAAAUAGGUGGAAUUUGGAUAUAUAGAAGUUGGCAGAAAGAAGAAAGAAGCAUUUAGGAGAGGGAACAAAAGCAACAAAAAUGUGGGCAUUUUCAUAGGACUUACUGUAGCUUAAGCACUGAUAGACGCUGUGGGAAGUAAAAUAAUGUAUAGAUGCCUCUCGAUUUACAACGAAGUUACGUCCUGAUAAGUCUAUUGUAAGAUGAAAAUAUUGUAAGAUGAAAAUAUUGUAAGAUGAAAAUGCAUUUAGGCGACGGGCACAGUGGUUCAUGCCUGUAAUCCCAGCACUUUGGGAGGCU